UUAGAGACUCCGUCGUCGGCUUCGACGUGCAAAAAAAACGAGCUGAUUUACAAAACCUCACCUCGAUUAUCCGCAGCCGCUGUAUCGUCGCUAGUUAUCGCGCAUGAUUUCCCGCCAUUUCCACAUGCUGACUCGUCGUAAUCAAAGAUGGCCGUUCAAUUAUCGAACGCCCCCACAUGCGCGACAGUUACACAAUGUGUGCGCGGAUAGAGCAGCGAUUUAAAUUUAAAAGCUCGCCGGCAAUAUGAUGUCAACAAACCCGACUUCCUUCCCCCAGAUAUAAAUCAUGUGAGGAGGAAAACAAAAGAGUAACGAAGAGUUUCAGCGCCUAUGGAGAAUUAUGUUCAUGGUGGAAAAGUCAAAGUGGCAAACAGAACACUGCAUAAAUGCAGACAUUCUCUCUUUCUCUAAAAAUAUGUUAAUAUUAAUUUUACGAAAGAAGAAAUUAAGAAUAUUGUUUCUGCAUGCAAUUGAUAUAAGGUUUCAUCUUAACCUGUUCGGUUUACAGGAACGUUUGCCACAAUCUGGUUACGUGCCUCAAGAGAGAAGAGGACCGCAAAAGACUCCACCUUUGAGAUAAUAUAUUUAUUUCUUAUUAAUAUGGAGUUUCAUCAACAAUAACAGUGUAGCAGUAGGCGUAACAAGAGAGACGAGGAUAUAUCUAGAGAGAGAGAGAGAGAAAGAGAAAGGAGGAGGGAGGGGAGGAAAACGAUGAGGCGGCGCGCUAUGUGCACCAACGCGACCAUUCGAGGAUUAAACUGUCGCUCUAUACGCGUUUUGCAUUCAAGUAUGUGGUGUAAGAACAAGCCGGUCCUUACCAAGUGACAAAUCAAAAGGUCGCAUGCUGAAACGAGAAUCUACAACGCGACGCAUACUGACGAUGUCUGAUUAUGCGGCAAUAUCUCUUGGAGAAUUUUCUGAAACCUGUUGUUACAAUCGUACAAUCAACACGCGAACGUGCUAAUGACGAUUGAAAGCGUUUCGAGUUAUUAAUAACAAUGACUCAAACUAAUGAGGAAGAAGUAUAGUGAAAUUCGUACAUUCGAAAUUUUUGAAAUUCGUAACUUUAAGAAUAUAAAAAUUGUGCUAAAGAAAAUAAUUGAAUAUAUAACAAUAUAUAUAUAAAGAAAAGAUCAAGAUCAUUUAAAAGUGUAAAGAUAAAGAUAAGACGAGAUGUAAACUUUGAUGAUCGAUAAAGGAAUAUUUUGAUAGCAGCACGGGACUUUUGCAUAUAUCAAUUCAUCACUUAGCAUAGGAUAGGACCCAUUUGUUAGAUAAUAUUAAAUAGUGGUAUUACUUGGCAGGAUUUUAAAAUCAACGUAACAACAGUUCAAAUUAUGGCAGUGCUUUGUAGAAUAAUCUUAUUGCCUGUUGAGUGAUUGAAUCAAUAUGACGCCGUGAAUCAACGCGACAAUGGUAAUGAAGCGUUCACGUGUAAACCAUGCGUGUGUUGUGUAAUGUAAAUCCGAUAACUCAACUUGUCGUUAAGCACGUUUCUCG